AUAAGAGGGGCCUGGCCGAGCCCGGACCCAGCCGGUUCUCUCUGGGGAGCAGAGCUCUCGGGGUCCCCUGCACCAUGGCCUGGCCUCUCGUCUGCCUCCUCCUGCUCACCUGCUGCUCAGGUUCCUUCUCCCAGCCUGUGCUGACUCAGGCUCCCUCCAUGUCUGCGUCCCUGGGAGCCACGGCCAGACUCACCUGCACCCUCAGCAGUGAAUACAGCGAUUAUGGAAUUACAUGGCAGCAGCAGAGCCCGGGAAAGGCCCCUCGGUACCUCAUGCUUGUCUACAGCGAUGGAAGUGCAGGCAAGGGCGAGGGGGUCCCCAACCGCUUCUCGGGCUCCGCCUCUGGUGCCAAUAGCUACUUGUCCAUCAGCAACAUCCAGGCCGAGGACGAGGCCGAUUACUACUGUGGGGCAGGUUAUGGCCGUGGUGGUAACUAUGGUUCACACGGUGCUACAUCCAGUGAGGAAAUGGGACAAAAACCCCCCUGCCAGCCCAGCCCCCCCCCCCCAGCUGCCCCGACUUCUGGCCCAGCCCCAGCUACUAAAGGGCCCGAGGUUGUGCUUCCUGUUUCUCUAUCUCAGGCUCAGAGCCCAAUGUCCAGGACCUGCCCAAGAGCACACUGAGAUAAGCCCCGAAAA